UUGUUGCAGGCAUGGGCGCGUACAGCAC
rnacentral:sRNA from 1 species